rnacentral:rRNA from 1 species
UACGUAGGGGGCAAGCGUUGUCCGGAUUUAUUGGGCGUAAAGAGCGUGUAGGCGGCCGUACAGGUCAGCUGUGAAAACUCGAGGCUCAACCUCGAGAUGUCGGCGGAAACCGUCUGGCUAGAGUCCGGAAGAGGAGAGUGGAAUUCCUGGUGUAGCGGUGAAAUGCGCAGAUAUCAGGAAGAACACCUAUGGCGAAGGCAGCUCUCUGGGACGGUACUGACGCUGAGACGCGAAAGCGUGGGGAGCGAACAGG